rnacentral:rRNA from 1 species
UACGGAAGGCAGCAGUGGGGAAUAUUGCACAAUGGGCGCAAGCCUGAUGCAGCCAUGCCGCGUGUAUGAAGAAGGCCUUCGGGUUGUAAAGUACUUUCAGUCGUGAGGAAGGUGUUAAGGUUAAUAACCUUAGCAAUUGACGUUAGCGACAGAAGAAGCACCGGCUAACUCCGUGCCAGCAGCCGCGGUAAUACGGAGGGUGCGAGCGUUAAUCGGAAUUACUGGGCGUAAAGGGCACGCAGGCGGUUAAUUAAGUUGGAUGUGAAAUCCCCGGGCUUAACCUGGGAAUGGCAUUCAAGACUGGUUAGCUAGAGUCUUGUAGAGGGGGUAGAAUUCCAUGUGUAGCGGUGAAAUGCGUAGAGAUGUGGAGGAAUACCGGUGGCGAAGGCGGCCCCGUGGACAAAGACUGACGCUCAUGUGCGAAGCGUGGGGAGCAAACAGGGAUUAGAUACC